GCACUCUGAGAGCAAACAUGGAGUCCUGGGCCAGAGCUUCAGGAGCCUGAUGGAAGGAGUUGAGCAAAAUCUUUCUGCAAAGAACAGAGAAGGCUAGCUGUAUUUUCUCUUCCAUGUGCAUUAUUCAACAAAAGCAGACCUUGAGAAAGAAUAGAAAGACAGCCUGAGUCCAGACUGGAACUUCCUGGAAAACUUCAAACAAACUGGAAAGGGACUUGGAGAGAAGUGAUGGCUAAAACCAUUUAGUGAUUUUAUUUCUCUGAUUUCUUCUCUGUUUGUUAGUGGGAAGAUUAUGUUGGAUUUUUUUAAAUAUCAAAUAGUUUUUCAGUAA